AAAAGACACAGAGGGUCGGGCCUUCGUGCACCUUGCAUCAGUUGCUCGAUCCAGUAGCUGGCCUCCUCCUGGUAUUUCGUCCCAUCAGACAAUAAAGUCAGACUCGUUGCUGAGAUGAACUUCACCGCUGCCAUCAUGCUCGUCGCACUCCUUACAGCGUUCGUGGGGAUGAUCACUGCAGCCGACGAGAGAAAUGACGAGGCGCGAACGGGAAGUGGUUAUGGCUCUGGAUGCCCAGACCCCAGUGCCUGCACCAAAAGCUGCAAAGCCAAGGGUUUCCUCGUAGGCGUAUGCCUCCAACCUCUACUGCAAAUCUGUUUGUGUACGUAAAUUUAUUGAAGUCGACGACUGACUGGCAAUAAAGCUCGCUUACUAUGCGCUUGUCAAAUUUCUCCUA